rnacentral:sRNA from 1 species
UUAUCAAACCAAAUGCCCUCAUCAUGGCUUUAA